CUGGGGCGGGGACCCUGAGGCCUGGGGUGAGGCUUGGAUGGGGUCUGGAGUGAGUGACCCUGCCGUGCCGGCGCCAGGACCGGUCACCCAGCGCGGCCUGCAGCUCCUCGCCAGCGGCCAAGGACACCCUUGAGAAAAAGUUCGGUCCCCUGUACCCGUCUCCGAGUCCCUGGGAGACGCCGCCGUCCUGCGCCACCGCCCACCUCGGCAGCCCCUGCCGUCACCCCGCGGGUCUGCCGGGACUCCCGGAAGCCGCUGUGCGCGGCCAGCGUUCCCCGAGGCUCUGGGUUCCCUGCCCUGGGCGGAGGCAGCCAGCUACAGCAUCGGGGGUUUGAGGAGUGCGCGCACCACUUACAAACACGCCCUCCAUCCACUUCCUGCCUGUGUCUCUCCUGCCUCCCGCGCCCCGCCACGAUUCUGCCACGUGCCUCCACUUCCGGCUGCACACCUCUCGGCGGGUCUCACCGGGGCCUCUAGGCCGGCCUCCGGUCCCCAGGUCCUGCCGGGGUCCCCCAGGGCCGUCCGCAGCCAAGCCCCUUCCUUCCCGCCUGUAGCCCGCGCCCAGGGAGCCCCAGCGUCGCCGCAUGCCUUCCCCACCCACCCAAGGUCGCUGCGAGGGUCCCGGCCCCGGGGCCUCUGCCGGCCAUUUCUCCAGGCCGAUUUUCUGGAGUUUUCCGAGUCAGACCAGCGCUGGGGGCUGACCCCCGCGUGGCCUUGUCAUGAUUAGGUUCAGGUUAAACAUUUCUGGUCGCGAGUCACACGGAUGUCAGCGGCCCCGCGCCCAGCCUUGCGGACUUGGUCACUCAUUUGGUUAAGGGGGUGUUUGAGCCACAUCUUUAUUGCAAAGUACUUUUCUACACCUGGGGAAGAUCUUCUGCUCAAUGAACGGUUUUAAGAAACUAUGCUGUCAUCAUACACAACUUUGUAUCCUGGUUUUUUACUUAGAUUGAAUUGUGAAUGUCUUCUCAUACAAUUAAACAGCUCCAACAGCUGAUUUGGGCGCUCCCUAAAUUGCAGCCUGCGGGGGUACUGUACUGAAUGAGCAUGACUCCGGGCUUACAGAUGGACGCUUGGCCACUGCACGUUUACCUGGGCUCGCUUGCUGAUGUAUUUUCAGCUGAGAACAAUGUCUGGCAAGUAGCAGGAGCUCAAUGAAAAGUUUUGAAAGGUCGAA